AGUAAGCAAGUACUAAGAUAUUUUAGCUUCUUCUUCCUCUUGAAAAACCAAUCUGGGUUUGAUAUAGCCGACUGAUUAAGAAUUGUUACUUUUCUUCUUUUUCACAUAUCUAUAUAAAAUGCAUGAUAUAAAUUAAAAGUUUUUGCGGCUUUUCGUACACUGAUUUUAUUUUAUAAGACUUCAGCAGAGGGCAAUUCGUAAACAUCUUGACUUUUGGUAGCACGUGUAGAUUUUCUUUAGUAUAGUGUAUCAUUCUAAAAUAAAAAUUAAGGAAGUUAAACGAAGAAGUAUUCAAAAUACUAAAAGAAUAAAUUUAAGUACGGACGCGAUAUUUCAUAACUAAUAAAUACAUAAGGGGGUAAGUUAUAACAUGUUACAACUAGCCCCGUAAAACUGUUACAACAUACCCCAUAGGACAGGUUUUUAAAAUAACAUUUU